CAAUGGCGUAUAUUAAAGUUGUUGCAGUUAAAAAGCUCGUAGUUGGAUUUCUGGCAGGAGCGACCGGUCGGCCCAUUGUGGUGUGUACUAGUGUUGCAUCUGGCCAUAUUUGUGGAGAGCGUGUGUGGCAUUAAUUUGUCGUGCUCGGGACCCGCAUCGUUUACUGUGAGAAAAUUAGAGUGUUUAAAGCAGGCAUUUGCUAUGAAUACAUUAGCAUGGAAUAAUAAUCUAGGACUUCGGUUCUAUUUUGUUGGUUUCUUAGAUCUGAAGUAAUGAUUGAUAGGGAUAGUUGGGGGUGGCUAGUAUUAAGGGCCGAGAGGUGAAAUUCUUGGAUUCUCUUAAGACUAACUUAUGCGAAAG
rnacentral:rRNA from 1 species